rnacentral:rRNA from 1 species
UACAGAGGGGGCAAGCGUUGUUCGGAAUUACUGGGCGUAAAGGGCGCGCAGGCGGUCGUCCAAGUCGCGUGUGAAAGCCCCCGGCUCAACUGGGGAGGGUCACGCGAUACUGGUCGACUCGAAGGCAGGAGAGGGUAGUGGAAUUCCCGGUGUAGUGGUGAAAUGCGUAGAUAUCGGGAGGAACACCAGUGGCGAAGGCGACUACCUGGCCUGUUCUUGACGCUGAGGCGCGAAAGCUAGGGGAGCAAACGGG